UACGUAGGGUGCAAGCGUUAAUCGGAAUUACUGGGCGUAAAGCGUGCGCAGGCGGCUUUGCAAGACAGAUGUGAAAUCCCCGGGCUCAACCUGGGAACUGCAUUGUGACUGCAAGGCUGGAGUACGGUAGAGGGGAUGGAAUUCCGCGUGUAGCAGUGAAAUGCGUAGAUAUGCGGAGGAACACCGAUGGCGAAGGCAAUCCCCUGGGCCUGCACUGACGCUCAUGCACGAAAGCGUGGGAGCAACAGG
rnacentral:rRNA from 1 species